AACAAAACAGUUCAUUCGUUGCUUCAAAUUAUUCCUGUCAUGUUAGCCCUGAUCGGGCGACCACUUGCUGAGCAAGAUUUUAUAGCAGGAAUGAUGAGGACGUCAGUGAAUCCUGCCACUGCUGAAGUUCCAGAGAAAAGUGUGUGUGUGUGUAGAACAGAAGACUACUUCUGUGGCUGUGCCAGAUGUUAACGAUAAUGUCUGAAAAACCUCAGACAACAAUGCUGCAUACACCAUAUCUAUAAUCAGGCCAAAAUUUAAAAACAUGUUCAGUAAUUAAAAAAAAAAAUUCCUUCUGAUGUCCAUCAAAAAUCGUAGGAUGCGUUAGGAAGUUCGGACCUUGGUGUAAAAAAUAACUCCUAGUAGCAAGGACUUCCAGAAGCUAAAGGUGUUAAAAAUGCCAUGAACAAAUCUAGAAGAUAUGGAAAAGGGGGGAAAGAGAUCAUCUAACUACAUUAAUUCUAUCCAUGAUCUGAGCAACAUUAGUGUAAGCAUUAUGGACAGCAAAUGUGGACAGCUACACAUAAUAUCUGGUUUAAUACAGAAAUGCAGUAAUGCCUGAUGCCUGCUGAUUAUUGCAUGUGGAUACUGAUUAUUCUAUUACUGUCUGCAUUUUUGCAUCAAGUAGAUACUGUUUUCAAGGGAAAAGACUGUGGGAUGUCGAUAAGACAGUGUUUCACUGUCAAGUCCAAGGACCCAGCCUGGAUUGUAAAAAGUUAGUAGAUAAAACAGAAAAAAUGAUCCAGACUUCUCUUCGUCUCCUGUCUCCCACUUUAUUGAUUGCAUUAAUGUUUCUGUAUCCCAUAUACAGUUCCGUAGCUGUUCAUAGUAGCUACUUACUCAUAGUAGCUGUGAUGGGUAUUGUACAAGAGUAAGCAACUGGAACUGAAAAGGGUAUUGUUGUUAAGGUAUGAGCAGGAAUAGAAACCUGCUGACAUAUACUAUUUUCUUGAUGAAACAUACCAGCAUCCAAGG